AUACGUAGGGUGCAAGCGUUAAUCGGAAUUACUGGGCGUAAAGCGUGCGCAGGCGGCUUUGUAAGACAGAGGUGAAAUCCCCGGGCUCAACCUUGGAACUGCCUUUGUGACUGCAAGGCUAGAGUACGGCAGAGGGGGAUGGAAUUCCGCGUGUAGCAGUGAAAUGCGUAGAUAUGGGGAGGAACACCGAUGGAGAAGGCAAUCCCCUGGGCCUGUACUGACGCUCAUGUACGAGAGCGUGGGGGACAAACAGGAUAAGAUACCCUGGUAGCCGACGCACUAGACGAAGUCAACUUGUUUGUGGGUCUUCAUUGCCUCAGAACCGAAGCUAACGCGUGAAGUUGCCCGCCUGGGGAGUACGGCCGCAAGGUAAAAACUCAAAGGAAUUUACGGGG
rnacentral:rRNA from 1 species